rnacentral:tRNA from 1 species
GUCAGGUUGGCUGAGCAGUCAAAGGCGCUGCGUUCAGGUCGCAGUCUCUCCUCGAGGCGUGGGUUCGAAUCCCACCUCUGACA